UACGUAGGGUGCGAGCGUUGUCCGGAAUUAUUGGGCGUAAAGAGCUUGUAGGCGGUCUGUCGCGUCUGCUGUGAAAAUCCGGGGCUCAACCCCGGACUUGCAGUGGGUACGGGCAGACUAGAGUGUGGUAGGGGAGACUGGAAUUCCUGGUGUAGCGGUGAAAUGCGCAGAUAUCAGGAGGAACACCGGUGGCGAAGGCGGUUCUCUGGGCCUGUACUGACGCUGAGGAACGAAAGCGUGGGGAGCGAACAGG
rnacentral:rRNA from 1 species